ensembl:snRNA U6 U6 spliceosomal RNA
GCGCUCACUUCAGUAGUACAUAUAAUAAAAUUGGAAUGACACAGAGAAGAUUAGCAUGGCCCCCGCGCAAGGAUGACACACAAAUUCGUGAAGAAUUCCAUAUUUUU